AUGUUCCUAAAGCCGCGUUAAAAAUAGUUCCUAAGCCCCCGACAUGUAAAGAUAGGGAGAGAGAGGCUGUGAAACGCGGCUUUAACAGCCCUCCACCCCCCUAUACGACCCCUACUGAACCUGCUGAACUAGGCCCCAGCAAGGCAUCAGCUGAAAAGCAGAUAUGUGCACCCUCAGUGCCAGUGAGCCCAGUCGCUCCAGUCGCGGGGAGUUAUCCCUCAUUAAAACAAUGACAGAGGGACAAUGUGUGUGAAGACGAUAAUUGUAGUAGACCCAAGGACGCAGGUCCGGACGAAGGGUCUGUAAUUGACCCAGCAAAGAAUGUAGCUGCUGUUUGGGUGGCCAAAGCCAAAGGCAUUGACAUUGUACCUCCCUCACCCAGCGCGCUGAAAGAUUUGAUUUCUCUGCUUCCUGGUGUUGACAACCCCAUGGCUUUUGUCGAUAUGUUAAUCAGGAGUUCGCGCCAUUGCCAGUUGAUAGGGGCGGAUUACAGAUUUGUAUUGCAAGCUAGGAUGGGCAAAGAUUAUGAUGACGCUGAGAUAUCUGACAAAAUUCCCACAUUAAACCAUGAGAAUGAUAAAGUCAGUCAUGAAAAAGAAACAAAAGUAGAGGGCAAGAGUGCGCGCUUCACUGCCCUGGAGGGAUGAGCAGGACAGACUACUCGAUGACUUUCGUGCACAAUUAACUAAAUAUUUGGUGGAGAAAAGAACAGCCAACCGUGAUCUGUCUCAUGUCACUUCCUGUAAGCAGGAAAAGGGUGAGACGGUCCCCAUUUUCUUUAGACGUUUUGCUGAGGUAUGGGUCAGCGUGGGAGGAUUGGAUUUGAAUGAGGGAGUGGCUAAUCCAAUUUUCCUGUCCACAUUUCUGAAUAAUUGUCUGCCUGGCUGCAGAGAUGUUCUUAAAACCCAUCUCUGUGACAGAAACAGCCUGACUAUCAGGGCUGCUGGCGAAAAGAUUAGAACAUUAGAGGGUGAUGGCAUGUUUCCAGAUGGCUGAAAAAAUACUGCAUGUGUGUUUGUACAAGGACAAAAGAAGAGUGAUAACGCUAGACGAGGGCAACCCAAUUAAGGGGACUGGCCUAAGCCAAAACCAGGGAAUUGUAAUUAUUGUGGAAAACUCGGGCAUUGGGUGAGGGAUUGUAGAAAGAAAAAGAGAGAGCAGCAAGGAAGUCAGCCAUGGGCCAACAGUUCCCAGGGUGGUUGCCAGCAGCCCAAUCAUUAUCAGCAGCCCAAUCAUUAUCAGCAGCCCAAUCAUUAUCAGCAGCCGCCACAGCAGCACGGUGUACCCCUGCACACUUAUUCCUGGGGUUAGAAACCUCUAUGUUGAUGGCUCGUGCUCAAACCCACAGGAUGGUGUAUACCUCACAGGUUAUGCUGUCUGUGAAUUGCCAGACAAAGUGAUUGAAGCUGCAGCUGUGCCUUUUUCCUCAGUCCAAGUAGCUGAGCUCAUUGCCUUGACCAGAGCUUGUCACAUUGCUGCUGAUCAGGAUGUUAACAUUUACACUGACAGUAGAUACGCCUUUGGCGUUGCCCAUGAUUUUGGACAAAUUUGGGCUACCCGUGGGUUUGUGGCCGCAGACGGCAAACCCAUAUCUCACAGCUCAUUAGUCAUGGAUCUCAUACAGGCCUGCCGUUUGCCUAGAUCACUAGCCAUUAUUAAAACGAAAGCCCAUUCUACAUUUGACACCCCUGAGGCCAAGGGAAGUAACAUGGCUGGCACAGCAGCCAAAGCAGCUGCUCAAUCUGGGAGGAUGCCAAGUUGGCUGAAUAUCUCUCAGGUUUCCACCUCCUCAUCUGCGCUGAAUAGUGCUAUGCUCCCACCUAUUGACAUUGUGGCCAUUCAAGCUACAGCAUCAGUGGCAGACAAAACUUAAUGGGAAGAGCUCGAGGCUCAUCCUGAUUCCUCAGAAAUUUUGCUGGAUGCCAAUGGCCGUGUGUGCAUUCCUUCUGCUUGUGCACCUUUUCUUGUCCGCGAGUUUCACGGUGUUACACAUCGCGGCCGAAGAGGGGUACUGGACACAAUGAUGUCUUUUCUGUGUAUACUUAACUUAUCACAUCAUGUUAACAGCUGAUUAGACAGAUGUUUAGUUUGUGCUCAAAACCAUGUGACUAAACCACAGGCUAAACACCAACAGCUGCAAAUGCCAGAAGGCUCAUUCCAGCAAUGGCAGGUAGAUUUUACUCACCUUCCUAAGAAGGGAUCAUAUAAAUAUCUUUUGGUGUUUGUAGAUAGGUUUUCAAAAUGGGUUGAAGCGUUCCCCUGUGCGAAGGAAGAUGCAAAAACUGUGAUUUUAUAUCUAACAAAAGCCAUUAUUCCCAGAUAUGGUAUACCAUGUGGCAUUGACUCUGACAAAGGCACUGCUUUCACAGCAAAAGGUGAUUCAAGGCCUUGCUAAAGAAUUAGGCAUUACAUGGCACUUGCACAUACCAUACCACCCACAGUCAUCAGGUGUAGUAGAGAGAACUAACAGAACAAUCAAAGACAAAUUGAGAAAAGCCAUGCAGAGCAUGGGUCGCUCUGACUGGCCUGCAUUAAUCCCAGUGAUACUGGCGGACAUGAGAAUGUCCCCUCACAAGGGACUCCAGGGGCUGUCACCCUAUGAAACAGUAAUGGGUAGACCCUUUCCAGCCCCUGGAGAAAGGUAGGGCAUGCACUGGGUGAUGGCUCGUGUGAUGUUCAUAUUAGCGAGUAUAUGCAACAACUGAUUGGGGUUUUGAAACAAUACUGGGCUAAAUUACAUUCCUGUGCAGCACCAAUGCCAGAGGAUAAAACACACCCCUUCAAGGUUGGGGAAAAAGUAUUAAUUAAACAAUUUGCUAAGAUGGGUGAGGGUCUUUCUGAUACCAAAUAUAAUGCACCCGCUGAAGUUGUUGCAGUCACUCAAACUGCUGUCUUAACUUCUUCUUUCCCACAGUGGAUCCAUGCAACCAGACUGAAGGAGGCUCCAUCUACUGUUUAAAGUUUGUUUGCAUAUAUGUGUAUAUACAGUCAUAAUCUGUCUUGAGAUUCUCCUUUCUUUCCAGAGGGGCGCCCCAUACCCACAUGAUUGAAGUGUUAAUUCUAACAACGCCUGGAGCAUAAACUGUAUGGUUGCUAUCUGACAGCAGAGGAGCUGAACACGCAGCGCUGUUUAUCAAAUAGAAACUGUCCGUUCACACCAUGAGCUGGAGAAGUGUGUCUGUUGUUGUGACUGGACUUAUCACCCUAUGCUUGGCGUUGUUGAUUUCACUGCCUGCCUUACAUCAUCAGCACAGGCGAUGGAGUGAGCAUAAAUAUUUCGAUUGGGAGGAAGAGCCAGGAGAGGAUCCUAGUGGAGUGAACCUGUGGUAUAAAUAUGUGAAGGUUUUGGUAAAAUCAUACAAUGUGUCAAAUUGUUAUGUUUGUUCAGUUAUGUUUGUUCAGUGACUCAGCCAAACAGAACACCCUAUAUGGUAAACCAAUGAAUAAAACUCAGGCUAAGUGUUAUGCAAGCUUUGCAGGAUGUGGUUAUCAGGACCCCCAAAUUCAAAUAAAUGAUUCGACAUUGAUAGGAAAGGCCUCAAAAAAGGAACCUGUGAUUCAAUGUUUUGGGUAAAAUUUAAUCAUACCUCACAAAGAAGACCAAUUGGACAAAAGGUUUUCUUUAACCACACCUUGAAGCAUCCUAUGUAUUAUAAUCAGACCAAUGGCACUAUCUAUAUGGGCAGCACUCUCAACUGUGAGCAGAUAUGGUGCAGUGGCGAGGGAGCGCCGUAGGUAUGUCGGGCCCCUCUAAUGGCACCUAUGUUGUCCAAGGUGGAUGGCUACCCGCAAACUGGAUUGGUCAAUGUGCCCCAAUACAUGUUACUGAUCACACGUUUAUCAUGGCCACUGCACCAGGCGCUGGAUCAAAGAGAAGAUGACGAAGUGUGCCCACUUUUGUGCCCCAUGACCCCAUAUGGGGGAGGACGUUCCUGAUGAGUUCAAACUAUGGUCCACGAGUAACAAGGUUACAUUGUCCUUGUUUCCUCAGAUAGGUGAGGGAAAGGUUAUGCUAAGGCUUGAAACAUUGGAUUACAGGUUGGGAUUAUUCAUUAAUGUAUCUCAAAUUAUAGAUAAGGCCCAAAAUAAAGAGAUCUCUAACAUUAGGACUAUGGUAAUGCAGAAUAGGAUGGCACUCGACCUUUUGACUGCCUCUGGUGGAGGUGUGUGCGUAUUGCUAAACACGACAUGUUGCACUUAUAUAUCAGAUGACAUCAAUAGUGAUGCUAUGAGAGAUGCCUUAGGUACCCUGACUAAAUUGAAAAAUGCUAUGACAGCUGACUAUCGCCCGAUCAUAACGGUGGAUGGAAUAUUUUCCACAAUCUUUUUGGCUGGGUGACGCCUUUUAUAUCGAUGAUGAUUCCUAUUAUUGUUGUUGUAUUACUGAUUUGCUGUUGCGGGCCAUGUCUUGUACAAUGUAUAAUGAGUGUUUAUGCUACCAUUGAGAGUAUGACUGGUCGUGGGUAUGAGCGACUUCCUAUGCGUUAGGCUUUUUAGAGCCUAAAAGAGGGGACUGAAGGAUUUGAUUAUUAUGUGUGUGUAUUCUACUGUUUUUACAUACUGUUUUUCUUGUUCUCUCUACUGUGUCUUUAGACUGCAGAAAUGUGUGUGGGUAUGCACUUUCUGUUCAUCUUAUCUCGGUGUGGCCGGAACAUUUCGUCCCUGCGCAAAAGCCUCUAUCUGACUCGCUCACAGAUGCGCGCAUACCUACACGCACACAUUCUCAUGUAUUCUGGUUGCUAUAAGCUGUCUCUGUAUCACUGUUUCCCUCCUUCUAUGAUAAUAUUCUUUUGUGUUAGGGCUUAGCUGCAGGCGGACCCUCAAUGUGGAUAUAAGAUUGCUCUUCCCUCCCUUGUGUCAGAAUAAAAUCAUACUGAACCAUUCAGCUGAUUUUCUUCUCAUCUUUUUCAAGCUUGGACGGUCUUGAUGCAGACACUCACUGGUGAUACAAAAACUAGAGUGAAGGGACCCGAGGAAAAAACGGAUUUUCCUACACAACCCAAUCACACUGUUUACGUAGGUGAUGGAACAUUAAAGGUAGGCUUUGCUGUGGUUAAAUUACAGAAUGAUCAAUUGGUCACCAUAAAAUCUGAACCCCUAAUUGGCAAACAAUCUGCACAAAAAGCAGAACUAUUGGCCCUAAUCAAUGCAUUGAGACAUUCAAAAGGACAGGCUGUCAACAUCUACUCUGAUUCUGCAUAUGUAGUGUCCACAGCCCACGUGGAGCUGCCUGUGUGGAUCAGAUGUGGAUUCACAACAUCUUCUGGCCGGCCUAUUACUCAUGAGAAAGAAGCAAAAGAGCUCUCUGAAGCCAUAAUGUUGCCAAACAAAGUGGCUAUUAUUAAGUGAACUUGGUCAUUCUCAAGGAACUGACCUAAUAUCAAAAGGGAGUGAAGCAGCAGACUUGGCGGCGAAACGUGCCUCAGACUACAUAAAAGACCAGUUUGUGGUGACAUCUGAGCCAGACGUGACAUCCCUCCUACCAGAAUUCUCAAGGGAAUUCUUAUCUGAGCAGCAAGACAUGGCUGCUCCUGAAGAAAAGUGUGUGGAAAAACAAAGGGGCAAUCAGACACGAGGAUGGCCUUUGGACAGCACCUGAUGGUAGAGCUUUGCUCCCAGUGUCACUAGUCCCAAGCGUGUUGAAAGAAGCCCACACACAUGCACACUGUAGUGAUAAGCAAAUGUCACGAGCAUUGCAAUCAUGGUGGCAUCCUUUAAUGCCACACCUAAUUUCUGGGUACAUAACGACAUGUGACAUCUGUCAGAUGCACAAUGUCAAACCAACUAUGAAACCAUCUCAGGGAUCGUUUCCAUUGGCAAAUGGCCUGGGGGAUAAAGUUAUAAUUGAUUUCACUGACAUGACUGAAAAGGUAAAUGGUAAACGAUACUUGCUUGUUAUGAUAGAUGCAUAUACUGGAUGGCCAGAGACCUUCCCGGUGAGCAAGGAAGACAGCACUGCUGUCAUUAAAUGUCUGAUAAACCAUUACAUCCCACGUCAUGGUUUUCCAAGCCGGGUCAGAUCUGACAACGAAAAAUGAACAUCUGGCUGAUGUGGAAAAGGCACUGGGUUUAGUACAUCAUUUCGGGGCAGUCUAUCACCCACAGUCACAAGGUAAGGUUGAGCAGUUGAAUCUAACAUUGAAAAACAAAUUGGCUAAAAUCUGUGCACAGACUAAAUUGACAUGGUUGGCUGCUCUUCCACUGGCUUUGAUAUCAGUAAGGAGCUCUGUGAGUAGGGCAACAGGAUACACGCCCUUUGAACUGUUGACUGGUCGCCAAUUUCCUGGCCCACUGACCCCACUACAAUUGGAACCAGUACAACCAUUACCACACAAAAUUCACUAUGACAAAUUGACUGCUCUAAUUGAAUCUUUUGACAAAAUGUUAGCAACUGAUUUUAGGGGACACGAAUAUCCAGCACCCCUACCUGACCGAACUUGGGACUGGGUGAGAUUGAGAAUCUACAGGCGUCAAUGGAAAGAGCCUCGCUGGUCUGCUCCAAUUAAGGUACUUGCACGCACCUCUCACUGUGUUCGUCUUGCAGGAAAAGGUGACACUUGGUACCAUCUGAGCCAGUGCUGUCCGGCGGACCCACCGUCCAGAUCAUUGGACGACACCAGAGUGGACCUUGCUUCGCAGGUCCAAGAGAGGGAGGAUACCACAGGAGGUGCAGGAGGGAGUGAGGGUACCACAAAAGGAGGUGACACACAAACACAUACACACGGGGAAAAUUUUCAUCCAUCACAAAGUAACCUACAAACUUUGCAGGUGGUCCACAAAACUGGGAACUUAUUCACAGCCCCUAAAGGACAGACUGUGCAUUUGGAGCGGGCAUAGCGAAAAAAAUCAGAGAAAGAUAUGGGGUUGACAAAUCAAAGGCCCAGAGAAAAACGAAAGCACCACGAGAACAUGAGGACGCAGCGAAAAGUUGGACAAUGAUCACAAGACUCCUACCGUGUAUCUGGCGCAGUUUAUCAGAGGUUCCCUACACUGGUCCUCGAAGACAGCUGGUCAACAUGUUUUCCAGCAUCUCUGCCCAUCAUCCACCUGCUGUGUGUUCAGUCAGAGCUGAAAAUGACCAUUUCAGGGUGAGUAACAGUCAGUCAUCUGUCAGACAGAAUUCAAUACUCUUUCUCCAGGCCAACUAAUUGUCUCCAGUGCAAAUGAUCCUUUGUCAUCCCACUCUCUGAGGACACUCCAGAGUAGUAAUUGUCAUUGUGGACUCCAGCAGGUCUACAUGUUCUGUUAAGAGACUGGAUUCUGAGAGCGAGAUCCUGUCAAGUGUUCAUCAAAGCUGAAGAGAAGAACUGCAUCUGUGUUCAGCAACUGUCCGGAGUUGGUGGAUGUUCUGUCUGAGCCUGAUUAAAAGAUUGAUAAACAGAUGCUGUGAAGUGAGUCCAGAUGCUACAGACACAGAAAAAGAUGCCGCAAUUGAGGAACACGGCAAGCACCUUCCAGGAAGAGCUGAAGAAUAUUAGAAAUAAAGACUCUAAAAUAACAUUUCACUUGUGUUGUCCAUAUUUCUGUGUUGUUGCUUUGUUUAUUCUUAUUAGAUGUGUCUGUUUAACAGUGAUGUACAUCUGUUACUAUGUUACUAUAUGCACAAUAAAUAAUUUGCUUAAUCGUAA